UACGGAGGAUACGAGCGUUAUCCGGAUUUAUUGGGUUUAAAGGGUGCGUAGGCGGUUUAUUAGGUUUAAGGUGAAAUAUAGGUGCUUAACAUUUAUAAGCCUUAGAAACCGAUAGACUAGAAUAUAAGUGGGGCAGGCGGAAUAAAUCAUGUAGAGGUGACAUUCAUAGAUAUGAUUUAGAACACCGGUCGCGAAGGCAGCUUGUCAAGAUAAUAUUGACGCUGAGGCACGAAAGCGUGGGUAUCGAACAGG
rnacentral:rRNA from 1 species